GAUGAACGCUGGCGGCGUGCCUAAUACAUGCCAGUCGAGCGAACGGAUGAGAAGCUUGCUUCUCUGAUGUUAGCGGCGGACGGGUGAGUAACACGUGGAUAACCUACCUAUAAGACUGGGAUAACUUCGGGAAACCGGAGCUAAUACCGGAUGAUAUUUUGAACCGCAUGGUUCAAAAGUGAAAGACGGUCUUGCUGUCACUUAUAGAUGGAUCCGCGCUGCAUUAGCUAGUUGGUAAGGUAACGGCUUACCAAGGCAACGAUGCGUAGCCGACCUGAGAGGGUGAUCGGCCACACUGGAACUGAGACACGGUCCAGACUCCUACGGGAGGCAGCAGUAGGGAAUCUUCCGCAAUGGGCGAAAGCCUGACGGAGCAACGCCGCGUGAGUGAUGAAGGUCUUCGGAUCGUAAAACUCUGUUAUUAGGGAAGAACAUAUGUGUAAGUAACUGUGCACAUCUUGACGGUACCUAAUCAGAAAGCCACGGCUAACUACGUG
rnacentral:rRNA from 1 species